CAGUAACUGUUUGUUGUGGGUGGGCUGCUCUUGUAACUGUUUAUUGUGGGUGGGCUACUCUGGCACUUGCUUAUUGUGGGUGGAUCGACUAACGUAGGCACUGACCGACAGAAGGUCAGGUGCCUGGUUAGUCUUCCCCCCAUAGGGGAGAUAUGUGACAAACUGCCAUUUGCCAAUAGGCAUUGGAGAGGACUGGUUGCCGG